rnacentral:rRNA from 1 species
UACGUAGGGUGCAAGCGUUGUCCGGAAUUAUUGGGCGUAAAGAGCUUGUAGGCGGUUUGUCGCGUCUGCUGUGAAAUUUCGGGGCUCAACCCCGAACUUGCAGUGGGUACGGGCAGACUAGAGUGUGGUAGGGGAGACUGGAAUUCCUGGUGUAGCGGUGAAAUGCGCAGAUAUCAGGAGGAACACCGGUGGCGAAGGCGGGUCUCUGGGUAGUAACUGACGCUGAGGAACGAAAGCGUGGGUAGCGAACAGG